UCCAACACGUGAGCAAGACACCCAUUGGG
rnacentral:piRNA from 1 species